GCAUAUCAAUAAGCGGAGGAAAAGAAACCAACAGGGAUUGCCCUAGUAACGGCGAGUGAAGCGGCAACAGCUCAAAUUUGAAAUCUGGCGCAAGCCCGAGUUGUAAUUUGUAGAGGAUGUUUCUGGCGACGUGCCUUCCGAGUUCCCUGGAACGGGACGCCAUAGAGGGUGAGAGCCCCGUACGGUUGGAUGCCUAGCCUCUGUGAAACUCCUUCGACGAGUCGAGUAGUUUGGGAAUGCUGCUCUAAAUGGGAGGUAUACGUCUUCUAAAGCUAAAUACCGGCCAGAGACCGAUAGCGCACAAGUAGAGUGAUCGAAAGAUGAAAAGCACUUUGAAAAGAGGGUUAAAAAGUACGUGAAAUUGUUGAAAGGGAAGCGUUCAUGACCAGACUUGGGCAGGUUGAUCAUCCGUGGUUCUCCGCGGUGCACUCUGCCUGCCCAGGCCAGCAUCAGUUCGCCCCGGGGGAUAAAGGCUUUGGGAAUGUGGCUCCCUCGGGAGUGUUAUAGCCCACUGUGUAAUACCCUGGGGUGGACUGAGGUUCGCGCUCUGCAAGGAUGCUGGCGUAAUGGUCAUCAACGACCCGUCUUGAAACACGGACCAAGGAGUCGUCUUCGUAUGCGAGUGUUCGGGUGUCAAACCCCUACGCGUAAUGAAAGUGAACGUAGGAGAGAGCUUCGGCGCAUCUCCGACCGAUCCUGAUGUUCUCGGAUGGAUUUGAGUAAGAGCAUACGGGGCCGGACCCGAAAGAAGGUGAACUAUGCCUGUAUAGGGUGAAGCCAGAGGAAACUCUGGUGGAGGCUCGCAGCGGUUCUGACGUGCAAAUCGAUCGUCAAAUAUGGGCAUGGGGGGCGAAAGACUAAUCGAACCUUCUAGUAGCUGGUUUCCGCCGAA
rnacentral:rRNA from 1 species